UCCAACAUUAUUGACACAUCUAAACCUACAAGAGAGUUUCCAACAUACAACUAUUCAGAUCGCAGCAACGCAACACACAGAACCCAUCAUCCAUCUGCAGCACAUCGACACAACCUUAUCCUUCAAGCAGAUUCAACAGCAACCAUGCAUCAACAACGGAAGCACAACCUACAGAUCCUCCGUCUUUAAUAUCAACUUUCAGCACUGAUUUCCUCUGAUCUUCAACGCAAUCGCAAACACCGACGCGAGCUUCACCUCACAGACCACAUCAUCAUCAUCGGCGAAAACCGACACACACAACUGCAACGAUUCGAGAACGCAGCUGAGCUCAAUCCAGCAACGUCAUCGAUCAUCGUUAUCUGAUUCAAUCUGCAAUAACGAUUCAGGACACUUCUCCGACGAUAUUUUCGUUCAUUUUUAACCAAAACCAAAGCCACCCUAAUUCUCACCCUCAAAACGAGGUUGAGAUUCUAUCUGAUUACUAAUCAAGUGUUAGUUUUCUUGCGUGCGUGUAUCACACCUAAGUAAGUUCUCACUGUUCCUCUUGCAUAUUUAACUCUGAAUUUUAUGAUUCUUUUUUCUUGUAAUUUCUCAACAAUUUGUUUAUGCUAAAUGUAAAAUUAAUAGGUAAAUUUGAACUUUCAAGUGUGAGAUACAGAUGCAUGGAAAGUGUUUGUAAAAAUGUCUGUUUGAACUUUGACCAACCAUUGUUUCAAGAAUUAUUAAAUCAAGCAGAAGAAGAAUUCGGAUAUGAUCAUCCAAUGGGUGGUCUUACAAUCCCAUGCAGUUAAUGACAUAGAAGGACGUAGGUCCUGUAGCACUUCUUCUUGCUGUAACUCUGCUAUCUUAAACUUCAGUUGUGUGUGUGCCAACAUUUGCUCCUUCAGUCCUACUGGGAGUCCAUUUUUGCUAGCAUAUUGUAGUAUUUUAUUGAAGGCAUCCCUCUGUGAAACACAUAAGUAUUUCUCAUCAUUGCAUAGAUUUUAGCCUAUUAUUAAUCCUUCUAUCAUAUUGAUUUUAGUGUUAUUGAAUGCAAUGCUUAGUCAAGUAUUAAAUUACCAUAAAAAUCUUCCUAAAAUUUACCAUGGCAAAAGUUCGGACAGAGCUAUGGACCACCAAAUUUGUCAUGUUUCCAAUAAUAUUAGCAGUGAGGCCGACGUUAAACAGCAUAUAAAAUAUAUUGAAAACCUUCUCAGUUGUAUUUUCGGGUGAUUCGUGAUGGUAAGCCAACCAAAAAUACACGCAGCCUGUGAAGUGUACUUCAAAUAGCGUAACCUAUGGUAAACCAACAAAAGUGAAGUACCAAAUUAAGAACCUAAAUUUGACAAUUUGAUGGUUAUAUCUUAAUUGAGUCUUUACUCAUAAAGAAACUUUUUGGGCUUAGUUUCGUUGGAUAUAACAGGCAAGUUUCAAUGAGUUAGAAGCUCAUCAUAGAGCUUAGUUUCAUUUGAUAUAUAAUUGACUAGUUUCAAUAAGCCAGAAACAGUUUUAAUGCACCUUUGUUUUCGUUGUUGCAAUGGUAUGCUUGUUCAAGAUCCUACUAGAGGUGGUCAUACUGUGGAUGAUAUUUUUGAUCAGGCUAGGCAAGUAGCUAUUGAUGCUCCUACUGAAAAUUCUUCAAGUUCAAGAAGUUUUACUGGAACAGUCAGAUUGCUUUUUCUGGAGAGUCUUUGUCUUCCGCUCCUCAGCAUGAACUUCAGAAGAUUGCCCAAAGGUUUGAAGAUAAGAUUUUUACUUCUGCAACAAGCCAGUCUCAUUAUCAAAAGCCUUUCUUAAAAUUCAAAUUCAACUACUCCGCUCUUGUUAUUCAUCGGAACCCGCCGUUGGCUGCUAAACUACAAUAACUAUCAAGUUCAAGGGAUUUUCUUGUUAAUUUCUACCAUUUUGUGUUCAUCAAAAACCCACAACAUCAAGUUGCGAAACACCUCUCUUUCUUGGAAUUGGAGGCGAGGUUCUCUCAUUCUCUUUUUUGGAAUUGGAGGUUCUUUCUUUUCAUGCUUUAAUUAGUUUUUAUUUUCCGUUGACAUGACAGGGUUUAGACAUCUAUGGAAGAAUUUAUUUGAAUGAACAAGGGAUUAAUGCGAAGGUUUUUUUUAUCCAUGUGCUUCUCAGGGUAUUUGGAAAAUACAGAAAAAGAUAGAAUCAAGAGAUUGAUAAGGUUGAAGCCUCCUACUGAGUUCUGAGUGAGAAAUUCUGAGGCAGUCAUUAUAGAACGAUUGGUUUGAGUUGUGUGUUGAGCAUCUUGUGAGUUAGAAUGGCAUGUAACAGAAGCCAGGCAGAUUUUCUUUUUCCUUUUUAUUCUUGCCUUGUGUCAAUUGCACUCCAUCGUUUUUAUAUUAUGGAUACACAUUUCUAUUUCAUGCAUGGAAAACAAUAAUUAUAUGCCACUGGUCCAAUGUUCCAGAUAUGUAACAUUCUUGGUAACUGGUUCUCACAAUCUUAGAGAUGUAACAUUCUUGAUAAGUACUUGUUUCACAUAUGCAUCCCACUAUACACAUUCAACCUAUCUUAUUUCUACCAUAAACAUGUGCUAAGUGUUAUGACUAUAUGUGAAUAGCAUGCGGGGAUCUUGGGUUUCAUCGUGUUUUUGCUUUAGUUGGAAUAUGGGCACGAGUUAUUGAAAACACCUUUUUUAAGAAAAAAAGUACAGUUUCGGAAAUGAACUUUCGAAAACACCUUUUUCUUCACCCACCUCCUAACCUUCUUGGCCACCUCUGGUA